GAAAUGCGAUACUUAGUGUGAAUUGCAGAUUUUUCGGGAGUCAUCGAAACAUUGAAUGCACUGCGCCCCCGAGCACAACUCGGGGGCAUGCCUGGCCGAGUGUCGCUACACAAUUCAUCCCCACCCAGGUGCGGGGGUGGCUAUGGGCUUCACAGGAGGCGAGCUCGCCUGCAUUGCCUUAAAUUCCAAACUCGUCCGGCACCAGCAGACCCGGCCUUUCUGGGAGGAUAAACCAAGGAUGGUCCAGAAAGGUUGCAGCCAGUCCGCCGACUCCGAGGGCAUCUGCUGGUUGCUUAACCCCAUGACCAUCCACUUCAUCGACCUCGACUGGACAAGGCUACCCGCCGGACUUAA
rnacentral:misc_RNA from 1 species